rnacentral:rRNA from 1 species
CGAUCGACACAGCAAUGUGUGGCAUACGGCUCAGUAACACGUAGUCAACAUGCCCAGGGGACGUGGAUAACCUCGGGAAACUGAGGAUAAACCGCGAUAGGUCACUACUUCUGGAAUGGGUAAUGACCCAAACCUAUAUGGCCCCUGGAUUGGACUGCGGCCGAUCAGGCUGUUGGUGAGGUAAUGGCCCACCAAACCUGUAACCGGUACGGGCUCUGAGAGGAGGAGCCCGGAGAUGGGCACUGAGACAAGGGCCCAGGCCCUAUGGGGCGCAGCAGGCGCGAAACCUCUGCAAUAGGCGAAAGCUUGACAGGGUUACUCUGAGUGAUUUCCGUUAAGGAGAUCUUUUGGCACCU